CUGGCUCAGGAUGAACGCUAGCUACAGGCUUAACACAUGCAAGUCGAGGGGCAGCAUUAUCGAAGCUUGCUUGAUAGAUGGCGACCGGCGCACGGGUGAGUAACGCGUAUCCAACCUUCCCAUCACUCAGGGAUAGCCCGCCGAAAGGCGAAUUAAUACCUGAUGGUCUCCUUCGCGGACAUCUAACGAGGAGUAAAGAUUCAUUGGUGAUGGAUGGGGAUGCGUCUGAUUAGGUAGUAGGCGGGGUAACGGCCCACCUAGCCUACGAUCAGUAGGGGUUCUGAGAGGAAGGUCCCCCACAUUGGAACUGAGACACGGUCCAAACUCCUACGGGAGGCAGCAGUGAGGAAUAUUGGUCAAUGGACGGAAGUCUGAACCAGCCAAGUAGCGUGCAGGAUGACGGCCCUAUGGGUUGUAAACUGCUUUUGUGCGGGAAUAAAGUAUGGGACGUGUCCCGUUUUGCAUGUACCGCACGAAUAAGGACCGGCUAAUUCCGUGCCAGCAGCCGC
rnacentral:rRNA from 1 species